GUGUCAGCCGCCGCGGUAAGACGGACCGUCCAAACGUUAUUCGGAAUCACUGGGCUUAAAGGGUGCGUAGGCGGUCCAGAAAGUUGGGUGUGAAAGCCCUCGGCUCAACCGGGGAACUGCGCCCAAAACUACUGGACUUGAGGGAGACAUAGGUGAGCGGAACUUAGGGUGGAGCGGUGAAAUGCGUUGAGAUCCUAAGGAACACCAGUAGCGAAAGCGGCUCACUGGGUCUCUUCUGACGCUGAGUGCACGAAAGCUAGGGGAGCGAAGAGGAUUAGAUACCCCCGUAGUCC
rnacentral:rRNA from 1 species